rnacentral:rRNA from 1 species
UGCGUAGGCGGUUUGGAAAGUCAGAUGUGAAAGCCUAUGGCUUAACCAUAGAACUGCAUUUGAAACUUCCAGACUAGAAUACUGAAGGGGCAGAUGGAAUUAGUGGUGUAGGGGUAAAAUCCGUAGAUAUCACUAGGAAUACCGAAAGCGAAAGCGAUCUGCUGGGAAGUUAUUGACGCUGAGGCACGAAAGCGUGGGGAGCAAACG